CGGUGCUGACGUCGUCUCCGCGAGCUUUUGACGGGAUUAAUUAUUCUCAGUCACGCUUGUGCGGACGAUGAGAGCCAAGCGCGAGACAAGUUUCUAAUAAAGCGGCAGAAACGUGUGGAAUGGCUGAGGUGCCUGAGGACAGAUUUGGGAACUGAAGCGAUGUUCAUCUCCGUCGAAGAAGAUGAGGAACUUUCUGGAGAACAGAAGACAUUCUGGUUUUUAUUGUGUUACUGUUCAUUUUCAUACGUUCUAAUGUUAAAUUGUUUUUUUUUUCUAAGCAAAAGUACACUUACUACCCAGAUAAAAACCUUCAAACAUUACCUUUGACUGCCUACAAGUUUUGCACAGUUCUGUAUAUGGUUGAUUAUUAAGUAAUAAAUGCUUAGUGAAUCAGAUAAUGAGAUGCGUUUUGCAUUUAAAUGCCAAUGCUUGUGAGGGCCCUCUCAGUCUGUCCAUAACCACCUGUUGCAUUAUGGGUGAUGCUGUAAGUUUCCAAUUUCCACCGCGAGCCGAUUACAUGUGCAGCGCCAAAUAGGGGCGGAAUGCUUUCAUAUUUCAUUAAAUAUUAGGUUCCAGUUUAGUGCCCAAACAUAAUCAUUUUAACAACGUAUGCAGGCAAUGUAUACAAAUAUAUUUAACACAAAUAGUAAUGUAGUGAUUGAUCACAGAGGAUCGUCUUACUUUAAAGUAUCAUCUAAAGGCAGUUUCUGUUUACUUCCAAAAACAGGCUUAUUUACAGCUGCUAGUUCAAGAUAAUCUGAUGUAAUAAGGAAAGUUAAGGUCUUUCGUGCAUAAUCUUUCAUAACAGAAUGAGGAGCAAGGAGUUCUUGGUCAUCAGAUGUGUUAAUCAUGGAUUCAGUAAGCAGCCUUCAGCGAUGCCACCAAAUAGCGACUUCAAAGGCGCAACUAAUGACGCUAAUCAUCAAUGACAGAAGACACUUUAAAAGACACACGACAAAGUGGCACUGAUCCCCUCCCAGCGUAUCGGUGUCCUCCCAGCUCCAUAAACAGUCAUCUGAAGAGGAGACUCUUACACGGCAAGCCAUCUGCCAGUCCCGUCUGUCCCGGCCCUCUGGCCCAAAGGCGGACCGCCCCGGCAUCCUCCCUCGCCUGCCCCCCGGCGCUUCCCGCAUCUUCUGGAAGUUCUGGAAAUCAAUGGGGAACUUUGACGCCCAUGCGGCAGAGAAGGCCGGGAAUGAUAAGCACUCACGUGGGACGGGGGCCAGGGACGAGGGGCUCCCCUGGUCUAUCCAUCGACAUCAGACAUUUCCAUGGAUGAGACCUGCCAGCCUGUUGGUGGGGGAAACAUGAGCAGUUGCCCCCAGACCGAAAAUACCCGGACGGAUCAAUGCGUGCAGCAUGUACCUAUCGAACAGUUGAAUUUAGCACCAGAAAGCUGCCAGCUGGACACGUCAGUCAGAAGCACAGCAAAUGCCUGGAACUGGCCAAACAAACAUACUCAGCCUUUCUGUUGAUCUUAUUCUGCCCUGUCGCGUGCUGGGAAGGGAAAGCCACUAAUGGCCACGUACGACUGGUCUACGAAGAGUUGGAGAUGCGCCUCUCCAGUAAUCGGCUUGAAUUACUUGACUUUGUAUGGUAUUGCUAUGCCGGUUUAACAUACAUUUGAAUAAAAAAAUAUAACACCGUUA